AGACGUUUAGCCCUCAGCGGGGCCCGGGGCCAGACUGAGACCAAGAGGACAUCAGGGGACAGAGCCUGAGAGAGACUGAACCCGAGACAGCCUGGGACAGACCAACUGAAACAUGGAGUCAGGCCCAAGAGAGGAAAGAAGGAAGCAGAGCAUUAGAAUAAAGGGGAAAAAAGGGGGAGAAUUAAAGAAAAGAAGGAAGGCAAGAUGAAAAGAGAUAGGAGAGCCGGGAAAGGCAGGCGUGCAGAGAGGGCGGCGAAGGAAGGGCGGCCGUAGGCAGGCAGGACGGGGCAGGGGCUAGCUGGCGGAGCAGCCGUGGCAUUGUGCAGCCCGCUGGCUUGCCGGGCCUUUGCCGCCGGACCGGCUCCGGGCGCGGCGGCCACUUCUGUCUGGACACAAAGGCGGAAGAGGCCGCCUCUCCUGCCCCUCCCAGGAGACUUGCUCGGGUGGGUACUCUAGGCCUCAGGGAUAUAGAACCCCAUAUUGGUCCAGACAGCCGCUCAGGCAGCUGGGGGCUGAGCCCUUCUCUAGUCAAGGAGCGAAGAAACAGAAGAGGAAAGAGGUUUCACGCCUGCUCUUCCUUUGCGUCUUCUCCAGGCGGCAAGGCCAGCUGCCCAGCCUCAGCUUUCCUGGAGGAAAGAGUCCCUAAGGAGCCUCCCCUAUGGGCCUCUGCUAUUUGGGAGAGUUCCUCAAAUAGACAUUGGGGCCGUAAAGAGACGCCCCUUUCUCUCCUAGCCCCUUUGAACACCGCCUUCUUUUCAACUCUUGAGCUGCCUGCGCACCCUGCCUGCCCACUCUGCGCAGGCGGCAGCAGCGGGCAGUGAGGCUCACCGGCGGGAUCCCUGCUGCCAUGAAAUCCCCUGUGAAACCAAGGAGAUUGUCGCUUUCCUUUUUUAUUUUAUUUUAUUUUAUUUUAUUUUCCGGGAGUAUGAACUCCGAACUCUUCCCACUCAGAGGCAGGCACGGCUGUGGAUCAGGAAGCAGGCCUCGCCCACAGCCCCUUCCCAGCCAAUGCCUCAUUUUCCCUGCGCCCUUCGGAGAGAUGCUGCCUUGGGGAGGGGGGCUAGAAGAGGCUGGGAGUCCCGGAGUCCACUGGGCGGAGGUUCCGCAGGUCCACAACUGCAUGUGGCCUGUAGCCCCCAUUCUCCACAUUUGGAGGGGGGUGGGUGGCAGACCAGGGCUUUGAAGCGGACCUGCAGAUUUCCCUCAAAUCCAGGUUUGUACGUGCUGGGGGCGGGGCACAAAGGAUAUAGGGGCACCAAGAAGGAAGGUCUGUCUUCCUGGGGUUCGGUUACUCCUUCUGAAUCUUCUGCCAUACUCCAGACUUCCCCUCACCCACAUACUCCCUUCAAUUUUCCUCAGCACCGCUGGGGCAAACCCAGGGACUGGAGGCCACUGGGAGUUCUUGUUGGGGAGGGGGAAACCCCAGCUUUAGCUCGCAGCUGUGCAUUCACUCUGGUUCUUAGAGUUCCCUCCCACCUCCAAAAGACUUCACUGGGCACAGGAGAGACCCUUGAGGGGGAGGGGCACCCUUACUCCAUCACCUGAAACCUGGGCAGCUGCGGCCACAACCAAACUAGCACCGUGGGAAGGACAGACAGAAAGACAGGUUAGAGUCUUCCCCUCCCCAUGCCCCGCGCCUUCCUUUUAGUGAUUUAAAUUCCCUCCAGUUCAAUCCACACCGUCAAGUUCGGAUUAAAUUUAAAACAGGCUUUCUCCGGUGCCCCCAGCGGGCCAUCCCGGCUGCCGCAGGCAGGGAGUCCGCUCCCGGCUCGUCAGCACCCGCCCUGCGCGGAGAAGGCCGUACUCCAUUUGCUUUCAUUUUCCUUCUCCCCCUGAAAUGGGCUCAUUUCACCUCUCCACUGCCCUCUCCCCCUCCCCGCCCCCUCCCUGGUUCCCCUCUACUUUCCCCCCUUCUCUCUCCUGAUCCCUCUUUGUUGGGAAAAACACACCCACACACAACUCCUCCUAGCUAAGGCCUGCGCUGGAAGCAGAAACUGAGUUCUCUUGGCCUGCCGCGAGGAGACCCGCGUCCUGCCCCCACCCAAGGAAAUUUGCAGUGACUUUGGAGCCCAGACUGAGGAAGCGGAGGUGGCGAAAGGAGAGACAAUACGAGUCCGAAGUACAAUUAAGGGGCCAGAGCCGCUCGUCUCUCCCCCGCCCUCCCUGCCCGACUGCGAGCUGUCUGGCCUCAAACCUCAGGGCGACACGCGAACCUGGAGCCGGAAACUCAACCCGUGGCAAAGGGAGUCAGAGGACUCUGCAUCCAGAAAACAUAAGCAAAGCGCCCUUCCAACUUGGGGAUGCCUUAACCAGCCCCGCUGAGUUGCAGAUAACCCAAUGAAUGAAAGUGCAAAUUC